GACGUAGGGCGCGAGCGUUGUCCGGAUUUAUUGGGCGUAAAGAGCUCGUAGGCGGCUUGUCGCGUCGUCCGUGAAAACUUGGGGCUCAACCCCAAGCUUGCGGUCGAUACGGGCAGGCUAGAGUUCGGUAGGGGAGACUGGAAUUCCUGGUGUAGCGGUGAAAUGCGCAGAUAUCAGGAGGAACACCAAUAGCGAAGGCAGCUCGCUGGGACGGUACUGACGCUAAGGCGCGAAAGCGUGGGGAGCAAACAGG
rnacentral:rRNA from 1 species